rnacentral:lncRNA from 1 species
UGAUAUCGGACUCAACAUUGUUCGCGUUGGAAAUCCUGCACGUAUAUCCCCUGCUGUAGCUUCAAAAUCUUUGGCUGAAAUUGUGAAUACCGAGCUGGCUGAUUUCCGAGCAGAGAUUGAGAGGAAGAAGUCAGAUCUUAGAAGAGACCUGAGAUAUUGUCUUAAGGAUGAUUCUUUGGCUGCUGGUAUACGUCAACUUCUGAAACAGCUUGGAAAGUCCAUUAAGAGGGAAGAGAAGGAAACUGUGAAAGAAAUCUUAUCAAGUGCUCAGGUUGUGCUUGCAACUGAAAUUGUGAAUACCAAGCUGGCUGAUUUCCGAGCAGAGAUUGAGAGGAAGAAGUCAGAUCUUAGAAGAGACCUGAGGUAUUGUCUUAAGGAUGAUUCUUUGGCUGCUGGUAUACGUCAACUUCUGAAACAGCUUGGAAAGUCCAUCAAGAGGGAAGAGAAGGAAACUGUGAAAGAAAUCUUAUCAAGUGCUCAGGUUGUGCUUGCAACAAACAUUGGGGCAGCUGACCCACUAAUUAGGCGGCUGGACACGUUCGAUUUGGUUAUUAUAGAUGAAGCUGGCCAAGCAAUUGAACCAUCA